AGUGAACGCUGACGGUAGGCCUAACACAUGCGAGUCGAACGGCAGCACAGUAAGAGCUUGCUCUUACGGGUGGCGAGUGGCGGACGGGUGAGGAAUACAUCGGAAUCUACUUUUUCGUGGGGGAUAACGUAGGGAAACUUACGCUAAUACCGCAUACGACCUACGGGUGAAAGCAGGGGAUCUUCGGACCUUGCGCGAUUGAAUGAGCCGAUGUCGGAUUAGCUAGUUGGCGGGGUAAAGGCCCACCAAGGCGACGAUCCGUAGCUGGUCUGAGAGGAUGAUCAGCCACACUGGAACUGAGACACGGUCCAGACUCCUACGGGAGGCAGCAGUGGGGAAUAUUGGACAAUGGGCGCAAGCCUGAUCCAGCCAUACCGCGUGGGUGAAGAAGGCCUUCGGGUUGUAAAGCCCUUUUGUUGGGAAAGAAAAGCAGCAGGUUAAUACCCCGCUGUUCUGACGGUACCCAAAGAAUAAGCACCGGCUAACUUCGUG
rnacentral:rRNA from 1 species